rnacentral:rRNA from 1 species
CUUUACUGCAGCUUGGCAGUGGCGCCAGGAAGGGACUGUGUAGGAUAGGUGGGAGGCUUUGAAGCAUGGGCGCUAGCUUGUGUGGAGCCAACCUUGAAAUACCACCCUGUGCCUUUCUGGCGUCUAACCGAGCCCCGUUCAUCCGGGGCCGGGACCCUGCCUGGUGGGCAGUUUGACUGGGGCGGUCGCCUCCCAAAUGGUAACGGAGGCGCGCGAUGGUGGGCUCAAGCCGGUCGGACAUCGGCUGUUGAGUGCAAAGGCACAAGCCCGCCUGACUGCGAGCGCGACGGCGCGAGCAGAGACGAAAGUCGGCCUUAGUGAUCCGGUGGUCCCGCGUGGAAGGGCCAUCGCUCAACGGAUAAAAGGUA